rnacentral:rRNA from 1 species
UUGCCCUACGGGACGCAGCAGUGGGGGAUAUUGCACAAUGGGGGGAACCCUGAUGCAGCGACGCCGCGUGGGUGAAGAAGCGCCUCGGCGCGUAAAGCCCUGUCAGCAGGGAAGAAAAUGACGGUACCUGAAGAAGAAGCCCCGGCUAGCUACGUGCCAGCAGCCGCGGUAAUACGUAGGGGGCAAGCGUUAUCCGGAUUUACUGGGUGUAAAGGGAGCGCAGACGGCAGUGCAAGUCUGGAGUGAAAGCCCGGGGCCCAACCCCGGAACUGCUCUGGAAACUGUGCGGCUAGAGUACUGGAGGG